rnacentral:rRNA from 1 species
UACGAAGGGGGCUAGCGUUGUUCGGAAUUACUGGGCGUAAAGCGCGCGCAGGCGGUUCGAUAAGUUGGGGGUGAAAUCCCCGGGCUCAACCCGGGAAUUGCCUUCAAGACUGUCGAGCUAGAGGACGAGAGAGGUGAGUGGAAUUCCCAGUGUAGAGGUGAAAUGCGUAGAUAUUGGGAGGAACACCAGUGGCGAAGGCGGCUCACUGGACCGGAACUGACGCUGAGGCGCGAAAGCGUGGGGAGCAAACAGG